rnacentral:rRNA from 1 species
CCCUUAGAUGUUCUGGGCCGCACGCGCGUUACAAUGAAUCGUUCAACAGGUUUCUUCCUGAGUCGAAAGGCUUGGGUAAUCCUUUAAAUACGGUUCGUGCUAGGGAUAGAUUUUUGCAAUUAUUAAUCUCGAACGAGGAAUAUUUAGUAAACGCAGGUCAUCAGCCUGCAUUGAUUACGUCCCUGCCCUUUGUACACACCGCCCGUCGCACCAACCGAUUGGAUGUUUUGUUGAAAUAUGUGGAUGCUUGUUGGGUGAAUUCAUUUUUGCUUGAUAGACAGAAACGUAUUAAAACUGAAUAUCUAGAGGAUGGUGAAGUCGUAACA